rnacentral:rRNA from 1 species
UACAGAGGGGGCAAGCGUUGUUCGGAAUUACUGGGCGUAAAGGGCGCGUAGGCGGCCUUCUAAGUCGAACGUGAAAUCCCUGGGCUCAACCCAGGAACUGCGUCCGAUACUGGAAGGCUUGAAUCCGGGAGAGGGAUGCGGAAUUCCAGGUGUAGCGGUGAAAUGCGUAGAUAUCGAGAGGAACACCUGCGGCGAAGGCGGGUUGCUGGGCUGACACUGACGCUGAUGCGCGAAAGCCAGGGGAGCGAACGGG